rnacentral:rRNA from 1 species
ACGGAAGGCAGCAGUGAGGAAUAUUGGUCAAUGGAGGCAACUCUGAACCAGCCAUCUCGCGUGAAGGAAUACGGCCCUACGGGUCUUAAACCUCUUUUAUAGGGGGAUAAAGUGAGAUAUGCAUAUCUUUUUGUAGGUACCCUAUGAAUAAGCAUCGGCUAACUCCGUGCCAGCAGCCGCGGUAAUACGGAGGAUGCGAGCGUUAUCCGGAUUUAUUGGGUUUAAAGGGUGCGCAGGCGGCACGUUAAGUCAGCGGUGAAAUGUCGGGGCUCAACCCGGGCACUGCCGUUGAAACUGGCGAGCUUGAGUACGGAUGAAGUCGGCGGAAUGUGAUGUGUAGCGGUGAAAUGCUUAGAUAUGUCACAGAACACCGAUUGCGAAGGCAGCUGACUAAUCCGCAACUGACGCUCAGGCACGAAAGCGUGGGGAUCGAACAGGAUUAGAUACCCUGGUA